UACAGAGGUCUCGAGCGUUGUUCGGAUUCAUUGGGCGUAAAGGGUGCGUAGGCGGUCGGGUAAGUCUGAUGUGAAAUCUCACAGCUUAACUGUGAAACUGCAUUGGAUACUAUUCGGCUUGAGAGUUGGAGGGGGGACUGGAAUUCUUGGUGUAGCAGUGAAAUGCGUAGAUAUCAAGAGGAACACCAGUGGCGAAGGCGAGUCCCUGGACAACUUCUGACGCUGAGGCACGAAAGCUAGGGGAGCAAACAGG
rnacentral:rRNA from 1 species